rnacentral:rRNA from 1 species
GCUGGCGGCAGGCCUAACACAUGCAAGUCGAGCGCCCCGCAAGGGGAGCGGCAGACGGGAGAGUAACACGUGGGAACGUACCCUUCAGUUCGGAACAACCCAGGGAAACUUGGGCUAAUACCGGAUACGUCCGUAAGGAGAAAGAUUUAUCGCUGAAGGAUCGGCCCGCGUCUGAUUAGCUUGUUGGUGAGGUAACGGCUCACCAAGGCUACGAUCAGUAGCUGGUCUGAGAGGAUGAUCAGCCUCACUGGGACUGAGACACGGCCCAGACUCCUACGGGAGGCAGCAGUGGGGAAUAUUGGACAAUGGGCGCAAGCCUGAUCCAGCCAUGCCGCGUGGGUGAUGAAGGCCCUAGGGUUGGAAAGCCCUUUCGGCGGGGAAGAUAAUGACGGUACCCGCAGAAGAAGCCCCGGCUAACUUCGUGCCAGCAGCCGCGGUAAUACGAAGGGGGCCUAGCGUUGCCUCGGAAUCACUGGGCGUAAAGCGCACGUAGGCGGCUUUUUAAGUCA